rnacentral:rRNA from 1 species
CACUCCUGCGGGAGGCAGCAGUGGGGAAUAUUGGACAAUGGGCGCAAGCCUGAUCCAGCCAUGCCGCGUGAGUGAUGAAGGCCCUAGGGUUGUAAAGCUCUUUCACCGGUGAAGAUAAUGACGGUAACCGGAGAAGAAGCCCCGGCUAACUUCGUGCCAGCAGCCGCGGUAAUACGAAGGGGGCUAGCGUUGUUCGGAUUUACUGGGCGUAAAGCGCACGUAGGCGGACUAUUAAGUCAGGGGUGAAAUCCCGGGGCUCAACCCCGGAACUGCCUUUGAUACUGGUAGUCUUGAGUUCGAGAGAGGUGAGUGGAAUUCCGAGUGUAGAGGUGAAAUUCGUAGAUAUUCGGAGGAACACCAGUGGCGAAGGCGGCUCACUGGCUCGAUACUGACGCUGAGGUGCGAAAGCGUGGGGAGCAAACAGGAUUAGAAACCCUAGUAGUCCC